rnacentral:rRNA from 1 species
GACGAACGCUGGCGGCGUGCUUAACACAUGCAAGUCGAACGAUGAAGCAGAGAAACGCGCACUUCGGUUCAAAUUUCACUUCGGAUUAGUGGCAGACGGGUGAGUAACGCGUGAGCAACCUACCUCUUACAAAGGGAUAGCCUCGGGAAACCGUGAUUAAUACCAUAUGACACAUUCAUAAGGCAUCUUAAGAAUGUUAAAGCUACGGCGGUAAGAGAUGGGCUCGCGUCCCAUUAGCUAGUUGGUGAGGUAACGGCCCACCAAGGCGACGAUGGGUAAUCGGCCUGAGAGGGUGAACGGUCACAUUGGAACUGAGACACGGUCCAAACUCCUACGGGAGGCAGCAGUGGGGAAUAUUGCACAAUGGAGGGAACUCUGAUGCAGCGACGCCGCGUGAGCGAUGAAGGAAUUCGUUUCGUAAAGCUCUGUUCUAUGGGAAGAAAAGGACUGUACCAUAGGAGAAAGCCCCGGCUAAAUACGUG